rnacentral:lncRNA from 1 species
CAAUUCUGUAACUGUUAAGCAUGAAAAUAUAAUAGGACUUAAUCUCACCAAAUAUAGAUCCACCCCAAGCCGAGUUCAGAGAAAGGGAGAACAUCAUGAUGGAUUCUGUAGGAGAGUGUUCCCGAGAGCUUUUUGAUAUGCAUCUGGUUGAGAUGGCUGAGAUCUGAUCCUGUUUCAAGGCAAAGGAAGGGAUUCGAAGACCACAGGAGGGACUGUGCCUUCCAGGACCAUGUUCAUACCAUCUUAAAGUCUGGGGUCAACUUUCAGUGUUUCACAUACAAUUAAAUUCAUGAGGGUUCUGCAAAUGCUGUGCCUGAUCCAGUGUCUCCUCCAAUGGGAUCUUCUAGAUUCUUUCAUUAAUAAAGAUUUAUAUAAAAGACUUAUUUAGUCUCUGAAGAUAGAGGAAAGACAGCUUUGUAGCUCUGUGUUGAAAUGCCACACGUGGAUGUAGGGUAAACAACAGAGAAAGAACUAGAGCUGUCCCACAAGCCAGCAACUCUGUAUUGGGACAUGGUUUCAAAGGGCAACUGGAAAAUCAAGAUCAGAAUUUGCACCUUACAUUCAGUUUUAGCUUCUAAAUAUCACCCGUGAACUCCAGAAGGAGCUGGGCCAAGAAAAAAAGGAUCUCUGUCCAUAGCAGAUCUAUAAAUCUCCAGAGGAUCUGAGGAGAAUCUAAGGAGGACGUCUCUGAAUCAGUUCCCUGUGUUGAGAUCAUAGCCUGUUGCAUGACACUUGCCAUCUCAGAACAAAGAGAAAGAGUCAACACCUCGUGACUGUAUUUUCACAAUAGCUGAAAAGCUCAUCUUCUCCUUGAACUCGAAGAUGAUCUCUUGCACCAUUCUUUGACAAGCAGCAGACUGUGGAGACAAGGCAGUGUUUUUCCAGAGAUAAACAAGGUUAAUGGAUAUUCCAUGAUGGAAAGCUGCCGGUUCUAGAUGCUGCCAGCUCCUGUUCAAAAGAACUUACAGAAAGGUUGUCUGGCUUUCACUCACUUCACCCCAAGGCAUUAGAUUACCCAACACAGGCAAUAAACGCAUCUCUUCCUUGUUUUCCUGAUUGUCUGAGCUCUUUAAUGGGGAACCCUGAGCUAGAGAUCACCUCCUAUCACCACCUAAGUUCCCAUGCCGCGAGGUCCUACCAGGUCAUAGGCUAUCAUUCGGUCAAGAGCACCAGGUCCCAACAUGCUAAACUCAGUGGAAAUGGCAGAAAUAGGCAAGCCCUUCCCUCUUUUUAUUAGAUUAUUUGAUGAAAACAAUAGUUAUAGCCAACAAACAUGAAGUCUCCAUUAAAAAAAAAACCACUGAUGAUGCACCUAAGUCUAUUGUUGCUAAAGAAGCAUCCAACAAGUUGCAACUAAUUCAUCCCAUCAGAACGAAUUAUGUAGCCAGACUCCCGCACUCCACCAGCCAGAGUGUUAGUGGGAGACCCUCAGGGUGAUUUUGCUUAAUGUCUGAAAAACAAACAAAGCAAUUGAGUCUUUUAUAAAAACUCAGGUCUACCUGUCCAAAUAAAUCAGAUCUCCGAUAAGAAAACUAAGAUUCCAAGCCACCUUCAAAACCACAGCCACGAAUGUAAAUAGAAGAAAGUGAAACAUCCCAAUUGUGCUAAGUCUACCGUAAGAGUUACCUCUUGCCUCUAAUCCCCAGGUUGCAUAAAUCAUGUUGCUUUGAAUUAAAAUUGGCCUAUAAAUCUAAGGAAUAUCUGAAGAUGAACAAAAAUUCCAAUCAGUCUUGCUCAUUGUGGCCAUUUUAGCAGUCCUGAGUAGCCACUCGCUAAAUAUUUGAUGAAUGAAUGAAUGAAUGAAUGACUCUCUGCUGGUGGAAAUUGACACAGAUCAACAUGUGAUUGUGUCAACCAAACAUUCAUUUUUCAGACUGGUGAACUUUAGGAAGGACUGUUUGCUCCAAUUCUUUGCAAGGCAUAAACAACUAAUAUGCCAGUAUUAAGGUGCAAUCCACACUUAAGCCCAAAGAGAUUUUGAUUUGCUUUUGUUUUGUUUAUUUAUUUUAUCCUUCUUGUAAUUUAACUAACUGGAAGACAGGACAAUUUGCAUGUUUUGCAAUUACUUAGGUCAGAGGACUACGCAGAAGAGACUUCCCAUUAGUAGAUACUGACCCUAAUAUUCUAGGGCUUGACCAUGCUUCCUUUUAACAGGCCACACAACUUUAACCAAAUGGACAUGGAAUAAAAAUUGAUGCCAUGUUCAGUAUGACAGUGAGGGCCAGUCUUAAUAUCAUAGGUCAUGGUGUUACCUAUUCUUUCAUUCUACAGCUAUAGAAUAUUUACUGUAUUGGUUUCAGCAGGCUAGCUUAUGUUGCAGUAACAAAUAUGUCACCAAAUCUCAAAGUCUUAUCCCAACAAAGGUAUGUAUCUCAAUCACACAAAGUACUUUGCAGUUCCAGUGAUUCACCAUGACAGCUUUUACCAUCCAAUAACACACAUAUCUAGGCUCCCUCCAUCAUUUGAUGCCUUCAUCUUAAUGUGUCAUCUCUAAGGUUUUUGUACUAGAAGAAGGGAGGAAAUGGAGAACUCACACCUACUCUUAAAUACCUAAGCCCAAGUCAUAUCACCCUGUAUAAAUAAAAGGAAGCACACGGAUCCUUGGGAAGUACUAAAUGUCUCUUUCAUAGUUACUACCUGUAAGAAAAUGAGAUAAAUGCUGGAGGAUGUUUAGGCAUACAAAAAAAUACACACUGACACUGUUGGGAUUUCUGACCACUCUAGCACUCAUCUCCAGCAUCCUUUCCUUUCAUUCAUUCAUUUACUUUC